CACUACAUUUGUAGAAAGUCUACCUACCAAGGUUUAGUCACGGAUGUAGAUAUCACAUAUCUUUACUAGAAUUUGAGCUCUAAACUCUCAUAAUUUCAUCGACUUAAUUUAUUGUAUUACCGUACCCUUGAUUUUGUAGCAAUGUAUUUUAGUGGCUGUUUAUGGCUAUGGCUCUGAUGUGUUAGUUUUUUCUUUCUAUCUGAUGAAUUACGUACGGCCAAUCAGAAGCUUUUGAUAGUGGUUUGGAUGGAAAAGGAGGUGGCAGCCACAUAGAUGGAGGUGGUUCUAGUCCUAUUGCUAGCAAACCAAAGCUGACAGCUAAUGAUGCAUUGUCUUAUUUGAAGGAAGUUAAGAGCAUGUUUCAAGACAAAGGGGAGAAAUAUGACAUGUUCCUUGAUGCUCUGAUGGACUUUAAGAGACAAAGGGCCCUUCACUGAAGAGCCCUCUGAUGCUUGGUAGAGAACAAAGAGGUCUAUAUAUGUUCAAGUCAAUUCAAUCAACAGUUUCCACAAAGAUUCAAUCAGCAGAGUCUACAAAAAAAUUAUCUAAUUUUAGCUCUAAUAGUUUGUCCUUUUCAAAUUCAGUAGCUAAUGUCUUUACUUUUUAUUCGAGUUUCUUUGAUUCCAAUGUAAAAUAAAUACUAUGGCAUUAUAGGUUAGGUCACAUGUCAUUGAGUAAUAUGAAGAAGAUUGUUUCAGUU